AAAGCAAGAACAAAGGAAGAAAAGAAAGAACAAGAACCCUAGGGUGAAAAUUCAAGAGAAAAUUGGUGGAUUUCAAGUAAUCAAGCAAUCAAAGGUAAAAUUUCUUGAUUUUGACUUGUGAUCUACCUUUCCCAUACAUUCUUUUGCAUUUUCCAUGGUUGAAUCACAUGAUUUCAUGAUGGGUAUCUUGCUGGCUGAACACUUAGAGAGAGGUUUUGAUGCUUGAUUUGGUUAGAUUUCAAUGUAUUUUAGUGUUUUUAGUUGAUUGGUGAUGUGUAGCAUGAAAAUCAAGCAAGAAAAAUUCAUGUUCUUCCAUCACCCAUCAUUGGCUGAAUUCUCCAUGUGGAAUAUUGAGGAUGAUUUUGAUUUUAUUUCAAGUGAUUUGGUUAGGAAUUAGUGAUUUAUGGUGUGAGAAUCAAGUAGGAAAAAUCAUAGUGUUGAUGCACCCACCAUGGCUGAAUUUUCCAAGAGAAAAUGUGAGGAUGAUUUUGCCAUAUUUCAAGUUAUUUAAUUUGUGUUUGAUGAUUUGGAGUAUUGGGAGAAAAAUGGAAUUAUUUGGAGUUAAAUUGGACAUAUUGGCCAAUUAAUCGGGUGAUAGAUCGAAUUAGGCCAAUAUCGUUUUAUUUAGGUACAUAAUUGAAUUUAUAUUGAACACCGUAUUUAGAUAGUUACCCAAGUAUUUCACAUCCCAUUUCAUGCAUUAGUAUAGAGCCUGAAUUGGUUUUAUAACAAUUUAGCACAAAUGUAGUAAAUGGCUUAUUGCGCAUUAUGUCUACGUGGUGAGCAUUAUGGCAAAAGUAAAGAGAUAGUACCCGAGGAUCAAGAAUCGGAGUACUCGAAAUUCGACUCACGAAAUAGUGAGUAACCUUACUAUCGUCUUAAUUAUCUAAAGUAGUUUUUAUUCAUUGUGAUUUUAUAGAAAAAUAUGUUUAAAUGGUAAAUCUUUAGGUUUUAUAAACAAAAUGUGUUUAAAUGAAAUGAUUUUAUAAAUUGUCUUGAAAUUUAAUGAUGGUUUUGAAAAUGGAGUAAUUGGAGACUAAUUGCUGUGUUAUAAAUCAUGGUUUGAAUGGAAUGGCUUAUGAUAAUAUUGGCAUGAAUGGUUGAAUUGGUAUUUGUGUUGAAAAUGCAUAAACUGUUGUUUGCCUUGAUAGGCUAGAUAAUAAUAAAAUUGCCAUGUCAUGCUAUUGAAUUUUACUGAAUUGGUGGGUUAUUGAUUAGUCGCUGCAGUGGACGGGUUUCGUAGACCAGCCUAUUAGAGGGGGCACGGUAACCCUAUUAUAUUCAUACCUCAGUAUAAGAGGCGCGGUUGGAUAACUCUUGAGGUUAACACUUUAGAGUUCACUUCACGCCAAACCACCACGUGAGGGUGAACUCAGCUAAUGCCAAGGAAUGACUAUGUUUUCAAAAUAAAAACAUGACUUAUGCGUACAUAACUUUUUAUCAGCCUUGGCGGACUCAGUUGGGAUAGCCCUCGACCAAGGUAUCCCUGAUAACUGAGUAUAAGAAUGAUUUUGGCAUGAGCCAAAGCUUUUAAUAAAUUCAUAAGCCAUGUUGAUUAUUCGAUUUAUAUGAAUUGAUUUUAUUUGGUUGAAACGAGUUGAAAGGUGAUGAAUUACAGUAUGUUAAACUAUUUUAUCUGUCUCCAUUGACUCAACUUUAGAUAUUUUAGAUGAUAUUUGUUUACUUACUGAGAUUAUAUAAUCUCACCACCCUCCUUUCCACCCAUUUCAGGCUCAUGAUAGUAGGUAAAUAGCUCACUUUGUUGAGGGCUACAGUUGGACUUGCAUCCCUAAAAACUGUAAGUUAACCGCUUUUGAUACUUUUGGUCGUUCGUGGGCCCACGUGUCACUGUAAAUUAAAUUUUAUACUUUGGUUAUCUGUAUUACAGUAUUUAUAAAUUUAUUUAGCUCUUACGCUACAAAAAUUAUAUACCGGUAACUCAUAUAUAUUGUUUUAUAAGAAAAUAGAAUAUUUUAUUGAAUAUUUUUAUUAUAUUUAAAUAGUUAAAAUUUUACUUUAAAUGAAUGUUUUAGAUAUCUAAACUUAUUUUUGAUUAUGAAAUAUGUGUUUUCCACUUACAUACUACAUUUUUAGCUAGUUUCGAGACUUUUGAGGAAAAAUGACCAAAAUGCCCCUGUGAGAAAAAAAUUAUUUUUCUAUUGUUUUGAUUUGGAAAUAGUUUAUAAUCUCUCAAAACAUGAAACUUAACAACUGUUGCUAACUACGGAGGUGUGAAAACUGAUAUUAAAGCCUUGCGGGGUUCCGGUUGACAUUUCAGGUAAUGAGUGCCGGUCGGGACACCGCGGCGGUUGUCACGGGCUCGAGGGGAGUAUUGGGUCAUGAGAAAUAACCUUAUUCAAGUCAAUCAUUUGAAAUAUUGAAUUAAAACAAUUUUACAUAAAGAAAAUUCCAUCGUCUAGAUCAAUUGACAUUUUACUCAAAUCAAAUCAAUAUAUUCGGUAAGCUCCCAUGAAAUCGAAUGUUAAUCAAACUCAUACAUAAAUCACAGAUCACCUCGCAUUAGAGGAGUUAAAAUUCAUUUCACCAUACAAAUAGAAGAGCGACAGAAAAAUUGUUAAAUUCCAUUUUCACCAUGCAAAGAAAUAUGAGUUUGAAAACCCAGAGAUGCUACUCUCGAGUAAGGAAUGAAAAUAAAACCCGUGGUCCCGUUACCACGUAAUACAUCUGAGAGCCUCGCUCCACCAGAUCCCACAUGCCAUGGUAGUCUCACGAUGUUGGCCGACAUCGGAGAAUCAAGCGAUAGCAACCGCGUAAUCAUUUGGUGGCCUAGCCACGCAUACAUAUAUCACAGGCCGUGGUCCCCACCACGCCUAACUGCCCGUUGACGACCCAACGGUUCUCUAGCUAUAGCUCACUCGUGUACGAGGGUCACAAUUAAUCGAUGUGACAUCCGACCUACUC
rnacentral:lncRNA from 1 species